GAUGAACGCUAGCUACAGGCUUAACACAUGCAAGUCGAGGGGAAACGACAUCGAAAGCUUGCUUUUGAUGGGCGUCGACCGGCGCACGGGUGAGUAACGCGUAUCCAACCUGCCCAUCACUUGGGAAUAACCUUGCGAAAGUAAGACUAAUACCCAAUGACAUCCCACGAAGACAUCUGAAUGGGAUUAAAGAUUUAUCGGUGAUGGAUGGGGAUGCGUCUGAUUAGCUUGUUGGCGGGGUAACGGCCCACCAAGGCAACGAUCAGUAGGGGUUCUGAGAGGAAGGUCCCCCACAUUGGAACUGAGACACGGUCCAAACUCCUACGGGGGGCAGCAGUGAGGAAUAUUGGUCAAUGGGCGAGAGCCUGAACCAGCCAAGUAGCGUGCAGGAUGACGGCCCUAUGGGUUGUAAACUGCUUUUAUAAGGGAGUAAAGUGGGUCUCGUGAGACUUUUUGCAUGUACCUUAUGAAUAAGAACCGGCUAAUUCCGUG
rnacentral:rRNA from 1 species